GAAUUCGCCCUUGAGAGAAGUCGUAACAAGGUUUCCGUAGGUGAACCUGCGGAAGGAUCAUUG
rnacentral:rRNA from 1 species